rnacentral:rRNA from 1 species
GGGGGGGGGGGGGGGGGGGGUGGGGGGGGGGGGGGGGCGGGGGGGGCGGUGGCAGGGGCGGACGGGUGAGUGGGGCGUAGGAACGUGUCAUGAGGGGGGGGACAACCCCGGGAAACGGGGGGUAAUACCGCCUAUGGGCGGAGUCCCCCAGCCGCGGGGCGCCUUUGGAGCGGCCUGCGUCCGAUUAGGUAGUUGGUGGGGUAAAGGCCUACCAAGGCUGCGAUCGGUAGCUGGUCUGAGAGGACGACCAGCCACACUGGGACUGAGACACGGCCCAGACUCCUACGGGAGGCAGCAGUGGGGAAUAUUGGACAAUGGGCGAAAGCCUGAUCCAGCAAUGCCGGGUGGGUGAAGAAGGUCGUCGGAUCGUAAAGCCCUUUCGACGGGGACGAUGAUGACGGUACCCGUAGAAGAAGCCCCCGCUAAAUUCGUG